rnacentral:misc_RNA from 1 species
AUUCGUCAUGGCCUCAGAUUGAACGCUGGCGGGAUGCUUACCAUGCAAGUCUGGGCAUGCUGGACACCUCAGUCUCUGGUGGCAGUGGCGAACGGGUGAGUAAUGUAUCGGUUUGAUGCCUGGCGGGGAUAACUGCGCGAAAGCGUAAUAUUACCUGCCAGCAUCGGGGAAAGCAGGGGACGUGCAGGGCUCGCGCUAAACGCAACCGAUAUCGGGAUUAGCUGGUGGUAGGAUGGCACGGCUCCACCAGGCGACGAUCCGUAGCUGGUUUGAGAGGACGACCAACCACACUGGGACUGAGACACGGCAGACUCCUGCGGGAGGGCAGCGUGGAAUUUACGGACAAUGAAACCACGAUCCGGCAAUCCGCGUAUUGCGUGGGGCCUUACCGGGUUGUAACGCUGUGCAGGAAAAGAAACAGCACGGAUAAUACCCCCGUACAACUGACAGCCUGCAGAAUAAGCACCGGCUUCAACUUCGUGCCAGCGGCCGCGUAAUGCGUAGGGUGUGGCGUUAAUCAGAUUACUGGGCGUAAAGCGUACGCAGGCGGUCAGAAGAAGAUGUGAAAUCCGGAAACUUGGCUGGAACUGCACGUACCGCUACCGACGAGGCACAAGUGUAUCGGAGGGAGGUGGAAUUCCGCGUGUAACAGUGAAAUGCGUAGAUAUGCGGAGGAACACCGACGAGAGCAACCUCUGGGAUAACGACGCUCAUGCACGAAAGCAUGAAGGAAACAAGCAAGAUCAAAUACUGGUAAUCCGCCUAAACGAUAUCAGCAACAAUGACGGAGGCCUUCAGACGCUGGCUGGUACAACUAACGUGAGAAGUUGACCGCCUGGGGAGAUACGAUCGCAAGAUUAAACUCAAAGGAAUGACGGGGACCACUGGCAUCAGGAUCAGUUAGAUGCAACGCGAAAAACCUACCGCCCUGACAUAUCUGGAAUCGAAGAAAUUUGAAAUUAACUCGCAAGAGAACCGGAACACAGGUGCUGCAUGGCUGUCGUCAGCUCGUGUCGUGAGGAUGUUGGGUUAAGUCCGCAACGAGCACGGCCCUUGUCAUUAGUUGCUACGAAAGGGCACUCUAAUGAGACUGCCGGUGACAAACCGGGAAGAAAGUGCGUGCGCGACGUGGACGGUUGCGAUGUGUGA